GAGUGAACGCUGGCGGUAGGCCUAACACAUGCAAGUCGAACGGCAGCCCAGUAAGAGCUUGCUCUUACGGGUGGCGAGUGGCGGACGGGUGAGGAAUACAUCGGAAUCUACUUUUUCGUGGGGGAUAACGUAGGGAAACUUACGCUAAUACCGCAUACGACCUACGGGUGAAAGCAGGGGAUCUUCGGACCUUGCGCGAUUGAAUGAGCCGAUGUCGGAUUAGCUAGUUGGCGGGGUAAAGGCCCACCAAGGCGACGAUCCGUAGCUGGUCUGAGAGGAUGAUCAGCCACACUGGAACUGAGACACGGUCCAGACUCCUACGGGAGGCAGCUGUGGGGAAUAUUGGACAAUGGGCGCAAGCCUGAUCCAGCCAUACCGCGUGGGUGAAGAAGGCCUUCGGGUUGUAAAGCCCUUUUGUUGGGAAAGAAAAGCAGCAGGUUAAUACCCCGCUGUUCUGACGGUACCCAAAGAAUAAGCACCGGCUAACUUCGUG
rnacentral:rRNA from 1 species